GUGUCCGCUGCAAUGGAGAAACCCUAGCCGUCGCUCGCCCCCGCGUGCCCCCGAGCCCCCCUUGCCGCCGCCACCCCAAUGGAGGUGAGCGAGGAGAGGGCACUCCACGGCGAUGAGCGGCAUGGCCGCGUCGACGAGAGGAGCGUACGGCCCGUUGCAGCCGCCGUGGGGCGUGGUUCCGAAUCGGCGCAGGUCGCCGCCAUGGGAGAGGUGUGUCGUGGUUCUGGAUCGGCGCAGGUCGCCGCCGCGGGAGAGCAAGGGUGGCCUGGUCUUCUGGUGCUUGUGGAGGAGCAGGGGUGGCCCUUGUCCUACAUCACCACAUCAAGUAGGAAGAGGAGGUCCUCGUCAUCCACCACAACCGUCAGGGGCUUGCUGACGCUGGAUCCAGUGGGGAGGAGAUCCUUUAGGCAUUUGAUUCUUGUGGGAUUCCCACACAUCUUGCAAGAUCAACACGCCAUUGUUUUUCACGCACACAUAUGCUUUGAUUUCUGAAUCAGGGCCGGACAGUAAACUGCACCAUUCUAUAUUACGGUCCUAACCAGAUAUAUUGUUUGCUGAUACACUGGUCUUUAUUUGUUAGUUUUUACAGAAUAAAUGUAUUGUGGAUAAUUAGCUUUGGGGCAUAUCCCUGUUACCCUUUCCAAGAAAAACAUUGGUUUAAGUCUACACUUUAUUACACAGUUAUAGCUUAACACCUUCAAAUUAUUAAUGUGUUCUCACUUUUCUUUAGGUGAAACAGGUUGAGUGCAUCAGCUACUUCCAUGGCAAUUGAUUUAAGGAAAUGCAGAUCAACCGAGGCACAUUAUCUAACUCGUAUAAACUUAUCAUUGUUUUUACCUUUUCAUGCAGUUUUCCUUUACGAUUAUAGAUGACAUCUUAGCAGGAAAGAAUAUAGUCGUGAAAUUUACUUCAAAUGUAAGCCUUGGAGUUUCAUAUUCACCUUCAAGUAUUCCUGAAAUGAAAGAUAGGUUUUGUUGGUUCCUCAGGUUUGGAGAACUAGAGUUAUGGCGAUACAUAUUUGGGUAUUGAAACUAUCUGUGUUUGUGAUCAGCUCAUUUUUGUGUUGGACGCUUAUUUAGCCAGCAGAGACGGCGCCAUCUCCGGCCGCCGGCGCUCUGCAGUGAUGCCUCAAAAUUGAGUUAUUGUUUAGGCCUCCUCCUGUAGGGAAAGAGACUUCAUUUGAUGCAUAUAUAUACUAUGCCGCAUACUUUUUAGAUUUGUAUGGUUCCUAAAUAUACGACAGUGUUUGAUUAAUUUUUGUUCCAGAAAGAAGUAUAUAUCCUGUUUAUAAGGAUCCAUAUUGCAGGAUAUCAAAAUUAGUCAUUACUCAAUGCAGCCAUACAGAUGACUGAUCCAUAUUGCAGGAUAUCAAAAUUAGUCAUUACUCAAUGCAGCCAUACAGAUGACUGCAAAUACAUAGUUAUGAGCAUUUUUUCCUGUUUUACCACAGAUUGCCAUGGUCCAUGUGUUGAAACCUGAAAUUUUUGAAUAUAUACUACUGGGUUAGUUUUAUUGCGGUAGGAUUAACUUACACAUAACUUAAAUGUGGCAUGUCAUUGUAAGAAGAACCAGCUUUUGAUUAGUAUUUUGAAAUAGGAUAAAAUGAUUCAUCCACCGACCGCGACGAGUUCCUACCGGUAUUUGUUGGAUGAGGACAAAAAAUAACAUGGGCCGUUCUAGCCCUGCUCCAAACUAAACUCGCAGAGGGUUGAGGGCGGGUGGCAGACGUCCAACCUAGAGCGCUUCAUGUACUGCACCAUCCUGGACGUCAAGGCCCACAUUCUUCUGAGGUGACGCUAUUGCACCUCUCAAACCUGGCACCUUAAAUGCUUUGUCAUGUUUAAUUUUGCUCAAGAGUUCUGACAGUUUAAGGAUCUGUCAUUGCUUGUAUCUGUUGUGCGUGACAUGACCUUCUAAUUACCGAAUUAGUGCUCAUUGUUCGAUCAUAGACAUGAAAUGUUGAAUAAUGGUAUAGUAUACAUGUAAUGUGUCCGCUCUAUUUCCCCCUUCUUUAUUUUAAGAAUUAUUUUUUGCUGCCUGCGGAGAACGAAAUUUGUUUUCUGCUGACACUAUGCAUACUGCCUAAUAAAUACACACACCUGUUGAUCCCCUGUUUUCUUGCUGUUUGACAAACAGUACAAGCAAAGCAAGUUCAGGUGCUAUUCUAUUUAGAAAUAGCUACACAACACAUAUCCUUUAGUUACUAUGAUCAUUGUUUGUCUCGCUAGAAAUUAAUACACACACAGGCACAUAUAGAAUCAUAAACCCCACUUACUCCCAGUAUCUUCUUCCCUGCGAGGUCAGAGGCAAGCUUCCUGGCGACGGCGGCGGCGCUGGAUUUGCUCAUGGGUUGGUGCUGUAUCUACCGCUGACCUCCGGCACAGAUACGCUGACCUCCGGCGCCCUGGCCCCUCCGCCCCCAGCCUCACCUUUCCCAUGUCCGCCCUCGCCGAGCACUGAAUCUGCCGGCAGCCAGGCGUUCAAGACCUGACAGGGUUGGGUCAACUGGCCCUUCGUGUUCAAGACCCGGCUCUGAUGAGGUUGAGAGUCGUGCUACCGACUGGGCAUAUCUUCAUCCUGAGCCGUGUCCGGAACCAGACCAGUAGGGGCACCCUGAGGGAGUACUCGAGGCAUGCUGUCAAGUUGGACGAGUGCAACCAGGGCAGCUGCCGUGUGUGUCCAGGGUUCAUACAGUCAAGGUGUUCGCUCAUCUUGGGCGAGAACCAGCAUUACAAGAGGAAUCCCCCAUAUUUUUCAUUCCUUGAUAGAUGGUUACAUUGUUGUAUGUUGGUUAAAGACAAUGUUUUUCUUCUCGGAUUAUGAAACCUCAAACAACAGUAAGAUAUAACCGUUUUGUUCGUUUUGCAAUCAAAGCUACCAUCGAAUAAUAUUUUA